CUCCAACAUGCAGAGAGGUCUUGGCUGCACCAGAUAUAAAAUGGGUGAUGAGCAGGCUAAGGAAGGAUGACGGAAACACUUCCAUUGUUUGCCUGGGGUCAGCCAUACCUUAAGAGCCAUGCGAUUUGUGCAGCUAAGGAGGAACCAAGGCCCCCGGUUCAAUACCACACAAAUACUUCCAGGGGCAAGGACAGAGGGAGAUUUGAACCUGAGAUCUUUGCAGGAUGGUGUUGCCUGGAAAAGGUAUAGAAAAACAAUGUGCAAUUGAGGAGAUGCAUAGGACCCUGUAGGAAUUGGUUUUCAUGUGCUCAUUUGUAAUGACGUGAGCCUCCUAACAGCAGAGAGGACUUUUACAGUGACACUGGGUCAGUCAACAAGUCAGGUGUGCUCAGUCUGUUAAUGCUCAAGGGCCACCUAUCAAUUGUGACUCCUCUAGACCCUUUAUUUCCUCAAAUGUAGGUUUCAUGAAGAAGCUUUCCAGCCUGGACAUCUCUUUACAUUGUCACCUUUGUUUUGCUGUGUGGAUGGAAACUAUAAACACAGAGGAAUGA